rnacentral:rRNA from 1 species
AUUGAACGCUGGCGGCAUGCCUUACACAUGCAAGUCGAACGGUAACAGGUCUUCGGAUGCUGACGAGUGGCGAACGGGUGAGUAAUACAUCGGAACGUGCCUAGUAGUGGGGGAUAACUACUCGAAAGAGUGGCUAAUACCGCAUGAGAUCUACGGAUGAAAGCAGGGGAUCGCAAGACCUUGUGCUACUAGAGCGGCCGAUGGCAGAUUAGGUAGUUGGUGGGAUAAAAGCUUACCAAGCCGACGAUCUGUAGCUGGCCUGAGAGGACGAUCAGCCACACUGGGACUGAGACACGGCCCAGACUCCUACGGGAGGCAGCAGUGGGGAAUUUUGGACAAUGGGCGCAAGCCUGAUCCAGCAAUGCCGCGUGCAGGGUGAAGGCCUUCGGGUUGUAAACUGCUUUUGUACGGAACGAAAAGCCCCGGGUUAAUACCCUGGGGUCAUGACGGUACCGUAAGAAUAAGCACCGGCUAACUACGUGCCAGCCGCCGCAGUAA